rnacentral:tRNA from 1 species
UAACUUAAAAGUCAGAGCAUUGGUGUGUAAAGCCAAAGGUCCCGGGUUCGAUUCCCGG